AAGCUGCAUCCUCUGCGCGUGCGCCCUAAAGUGCCUUAAUCUCCAACUACUUCCACGACGGCGAGCGACGCUUCAUCCUUUUCCUCCUAAAUGUCCUCUAGGACUAUUCCAAUCCCUGACCUCCGUCCCAAGUGCGGUGGUUCGGUCCCUGCCAGAGGCGCAUGAGAGGCCUCCCGGGUACCCCGGCCUCAAGAGCACCCCCUUGGCGGUGUCCAUGGUUCUGGAAAAUGCCGCUGGGCCUGGGGUGUAGUCGGACGCGGUCCCCGUUUCUCACCAGCUGCCAUCUCCCGGGAGAACUUGUUUGCACGGUGUCUCAAGGAAGUAGCUACAGACCUUAGGCAGAGGUGUGGCAGAAGAAAGAGCCCUCAGAGAUCAGAAGAGGCAUCCGAUCUCCUGCAACUGGAGUUAUGUACAGCUGUGAGCUGCCAUGUUGGUGGUGGGAGCCCAACCUGGGUCCUCUUUGAGAAGAUCAAGUACCACCUCCCUAGUACCUCCUCUUCAUUUCUCUGUAUCAACCAAAAACACUGCCUGCACAUCAGAAUUAAUGAAGAAUUUAUUGCAAAGACUAGUUUCCAGACCUGGGGCACUUGACCCGUGUGUCAGAAUUCCCAAGCAAGGACACACAAAUCUACUCUGUUUUUGUUUUUUUCUGAAGCGAGGUCUUACGUACCCAGGCUGACCUUAAAUUCACUCUGUAGCCAAGGCUGAUGUUGAACCACUGAUCCUCCUGCUCCAGCAUUCUAAGUCCUAGGACUGUAGGUGGACACAGUUACACCUCUUUUAAGAUGUGCAGAUCAGUUUAAAACACUGUAAGAUAAUUCCUCUAAAGCACUGUAGCUAAACCUUAACCACUUGUUGACUCUCAGAAAUGCCUUACAUUUUCCAACUCUUAUAGCCUUCAUUCUCUCAAUUUUUACACUAAUUGGAUAUGUCUCCUUAUUGAAAUUAUCUUUAAGGCAGCAAAACAUCACUUCUUUUACUUUAGUUUUACUUCUUUUGCUCUUUGGAAAUUCUCUCAUGUCAAGCUAGAUGUGUGGCUCCCCUCUACCAUCCCAGCAAGGAACUGAAGCAGGAGGAUCAUAUGCUCACAGACAACCUACAAAACACUUGUAAGAUUGUUUGCAGACAGCCGGGCGUUGGUGGCGCAUGCCUUUAGUCCAUCCCAGCACUUGGGAGGCAGAGGCAGGUGGGUGGAUCUCUGUGAGUUCGAGACCAGCCUGGUCUACAAGAGCUAGUUCCAGGACAGCCUCCAAAGCCACAGAAGAGAUACCCUGUCCUGAAAAAAAAAAAAAAAAAAGUUUGUUUGCAGACAAAAACAGAGCACUAAAGUUGUUUUGCAGUCAUUAAUCUAUUUUUUUUUUUUAGCAGUGCCAUGGUUGGAGGUAAAAGGUGUGGGCCUUGUGCUUGUUAGCUAGCUGUUUACUCAACCCCUACACUACAUUACCAAGCUUCAAUUUUAAGUCAUAAAUAUAUAAUGAAAAUUGA